UGAAUCACGUUUGGUAAAUUCAAUCUUAAACCGAGAGGAAGUGUACGAGUAAAGAAAGUGUGCUGCGGUGGCGUGCCGGAGGAGGUAAAGGGUAAUUGGUGAGUGGAAUUAGCUAGAUACGGGCCCGAAUCAAUAGCGAUGUAGCGUCCCACUAUUGUGAGAUAGUGAUUAGCCUGGCGUGCAUUCAUCAGCAUUUUCAGCCCACUGCGGAUAGGUCAAGGCAUGUCAUAGCACUUUCUUUCGAGUCACUCCGCUGCUAGAGGUCGAGUCUUCAUAGAGUAAUUUGUUACGGGAUUAGACAAUAGUGUUAGAUUAAAUGUACAUUUGAAAAUUAUAAGUCUUGAUGUAUCAUUAUUACAAUUAUGUGGAAUAAAGGUUUA